rnacentral:rRNA from 1 species
UACGUAGGGUGCAAGCGUUAAUCGGAAUUACUGGGCGUAAAGCGCGCGCAGGCGGUUCUUUAAGUCUGGUGUUUAAACCCGAGGCUCAACUUCGGGUCGCACUGGAAACUGGGGGACUUGAGUGCAGAAGAGGAGAGUGGAAUUCCACGUGUAGCGGUGAAAUGCGUAGAUAUGUGGAGGAACACCAGUGGCGAAGGCGACUCUCUGGGCUGUAACUGACGCUGAGGCGCGAAAGCGUGGGGAGCAAACAGG